AGGGAUCUUCUUACUCAGGAAGCAGCCAGUAUGGUGGGCAGGGCUCAUCAUAUUCUGGAGGCCGACAACAUGGUAAACCAGGAUCCUCAGGAAGCACUUAUUCUGGAAAGCAGCAACCACCUUCUUCAGGGGGUAGUCAAGUGAGCUCUGCUGGGAAACACUCCAGUCCCCAACUCCUGCUGUUGUUUAGCAUUUUGAGUGCCUUCGUACUCUCUGCUGUUACAUCAAAAUGGUCUAUGUGAACAUCAGAAGAUGUGCUCGGCAUCCUAGACGUGGAUUAUACGCAGUAAUAUUAGAUUAAUUAAUAUCAGGAAGAAAAAAAAACAACACCACCAUAAAACUGUCAGAUGUUACUUGGGCUAUCAUGUUCCAUGUCUGGUUACUAUGUCAUGUCUUUCAUUAGUUUCUUUGGGUUUAGUCAUUAGUAGAUAUCAUUACUUUUGUCAGUGUUCUAGGCACCAUUUUAAGAGAGUGUAUUGUACCCUAGCUUUAUGAUUUCAUUAAAUUAUUUUUAUGUCCAGUGGAAAACAUGAUGAACACCUGAAAACUGAUUGGUGUGAGAAACAAAUGCUUAUAAAAUACCUGGUUAGUAACCAACGCAGAAUGUCAGACAAAUGGUUUUAUUUGCAAAACUUUAUUUGAGCACUGUCACUGCCCCUCACUGCAUACAAUAAAGAUGACCUCUAACUUCUUGUGAGCGAUCCUCCAUGGGGUGGCAAAAAGGAUGCUAAAAUAAUAUUAUACUAUCGGCUUUAGUGGAAUGUAACAAAUCCAUACCCAACAUGAAGGUUGCAAAGCUAAAAAAAAAAAAAAAAAAAAAAAGCCUAAAUGCGAUCUUCACCAUUUAGUUGACAGUUGUUUCUUUGGACUACGCAAUAACGUUCUUUUAAUUUAAGCGUCCGCUCUGAACUGGCAUUGCACUUCUUUAAUAAACUGAUGGUGGAUUUCACGCGAA